rnacentral:rRNA from 1 species
AGAGUUUGAUCCUGGCUCAGGAUGAACGCUAGCUACAGGCUUAACACAUGCAAGUCGAGGGGCAGCAUGGUCUUAGCUUGCUAAGACCGAUGGCGACCGGCGCACGGGUGAGUAACGCGUAUCCAACCUGCCUUACACUCUUGGACAGCCUUCUGAAAGGGAGAUUAAUACAAGAUGUUAUCAUGAGUAAGCAUUUUCACAUGAUUAAAGGUUUACCGGUGUAAGAUGGGGAUGCGUUCCAUUAGAUAGUAGGCGGGGUAACGGCCACCUAGUCUUCGAUGGAUAGGGGUUCUGAGAGGAAGUCCCCCANAUUGGAACUGAGACACGGUCCAAACUCCGUACGGGAGGCA